UACGUAGGGUGCGAGCGUUUAAUCGGAAUUACUGGGCGUAAAGCGUGCGCAGGCGGUUCGUUGUGUCCGUCGUGAAAGCCCCGGGCUUAACCUGGGAACUGCGAUGGAAACUAGCGAGCUGGAGUGUGGCAGAGGGGGGUGGAAUUCCGAGUGUAGAGGUGAAAUUCGUAGAUAUUCGGAGGAACACCAGUGGCGAAGGCGGCUCACUGGUCCAUUACUGACGCUGAGGUGCGAAAGCGUGGGGAGCAAACAGG
rnacentral:rRNA from 1 species